CCUAAUGACACCUCAAGAAACAAUUUCAGGGAGGAACUAUUAUUAGCCCUUUUUGCAAAAAAGGAAACUGAGCUUACAGAAGUUAAAUAACAGGUCUAAGGUCACAGAGUUACUGAGGGGCAACUGGAGACUUGGAGCCACUCAGCUGACCCUAGAGCCAGUGUCACGAUCACUGCACGUCUUACUCCCAACGCAGGGGCUCACCCUAAGGCUGGGCUGGACCGGAACAAGUAGUCAGGAAAGAAUAUACACACAAGAUCUACAUUUGAAACUCUACAAGCUGACGAGAAGGAGGGAGGAAAAGUGGAAAGGAAAAAAGAAAGCAAGUGACCGGCACAUCCCACAGAACUCUUAAUUUUCAGCAGUUUCCAAUGUAUCUUCUGGAUUCAACAUAGAUUUCAAGGAUUUAUGUACGGAGCUAUAUAUGUUGCACUGCUUGCCCUCCUCUUGGAAACCACGCUCUCCAUUCUUACUGGAUCCUAAUCGUCUCACCUUCUCAACAGAACCAUUCCAGUGACGGUUUACUACACGUUUUCAGUCACUUUUCCUCUCUGCUACGUUAUUCUCAGCAGCAUUUAAAAAAUGCACUAUCAUACACAAAAGAAAAGGAGGGAUGGAUGGAAAAGAGCGUUAGGGCCAAAGGAGGGA